rnacentral:rRNA from 1 species
AUCUUGGUCAUUUAGAGGAAGUAAAAGUCGUAACAAGGUUUCCGUAGGUGAACCUGCGGAAGGAUCAUUACCGAGUUAGGGUCUUCCAUGGCCCAACCUCCAACCCCUUGUAUACUGCCAAAUAUUUUGUUGCUUCGGUGGGCCAACAGAGUGCUCACCGAAGCCCAACCAAAAAUCUUAGUAAUGAUGUUGUCUGAGUUAUUAAAGUAAUAAUUAAAACUUUCAACAACGGAUCUCUUGGUUCCCGCAUCGAUGAAGAACGCAGCGAAAUGCGAUAAGUAAUGUGAAUUGCAGAAUUCAGUGAAUCAUCGAAUCUUUGAACGCACAUUGCGCCCCUUGGCAUUCCGAGGGGCAUGCCUGUUCGAGCGUCAUGAUCAAAUCUCAAGCCUGGCUUGGUAUUGGGUUUUCGUCUCUCCUAUCUGUGUACAGGUAGGUGGCGUGCCUGAAAGUCAACAGCAGUGCCUCGAUAGACCUAAGCGUAGCAGACUGACUCGCUUUAGAGGGCGUUUUGUAGACACUGUUAAUGAAAUAAUUAAGUUGGACCUCGGAUCAGGU